rnacentral:rRNA from 2 species
GUUGUGGCCUUGAGCCGUGGCUUUCGGAGCUAACGCGUUAAGUAGACCGCCUGGGGAGUACGGUCGCAAGAUUAAAACUCAAAUGAAUUGACGGGGGCCCGCACAAGCGGUGGAGCAUGUGGUUUAAUUCGAUGCAACGCGAAGAACCUUACCUACUCUUGACAUCCAGAGAACUUUCCAGAGAUGGAUUGGUGCCUUCGGGAACUCUGAGACAGGUGCUGCAUGGCUGUCGUCAGCUCGUGUCGUGA